AAAUCAGGUAGGAGUACCCGCUGAACUUAAGCAUAUCAAUAAGCGGAGGAAAAGAAACCAACCGGGAUUGCCUUAGUAACGGCGAGUGAAGCGGCAAAAGCUCAAAUUUGAAAUCUGGUACCUUCGGUGCCCGAGUUGUAAUUUGGAGAGGGCAACUUUGGGGCCGUUCCUUGUCUAUGUUCCUUGGAACAGGACGUCAUAGAGGGUGAGAAUCCCGUGUGGCGAGGAGUGCGGUUCUUUGUAAAGUGCCUUCGAAGAGUCGAGUUGUUUGGGAAUGCAGCUCUAAGUGGGUGGUAAAUUCCAUCUAAAGCUAAAUAUUGGCGAGAGACCGAUAGCGAACAAGUACAGUGAUGGAAAGAUGAAAAGAACUUUGAAAAGAGAGUGAAAAAGUACGUGAAAUUGUUGAAAGGGAAGGGCAUUUGAUCAGACAUGGUGUUUUGUGCCCUCUGCUCCUUGUGGGUAGGGGAAUCUCGCAUUUCACUGGGCCAGCAUCAGUUUUGGUGGCAGGAUAAAUCCAUAGGAAUGUAGCUUGCCUCGGUAAGUAUUAUAGCCUGUGGGAAUACUGCCAGCUGGGACUGAGGACUGCGACGUAAGUCAAGGAUGCUGGCAUAAUGGUUAUAUGCCGCCCG
rnacentral:rRNA from 1 species